rnacentral:misc_RNA from 1 species
CGCAUAAGCGAAACGCCCCCAGUUCAAGCCCAUCGCUCAGUGAAGACAGUUGCCUCAAACGAUGGCGCUUACGGCCCAGCUGUAUACAUUAGUAGGCUUUACGGAAGAUCUAGACUGGAAGCCUCUUCGUUUCGUCAAGCCCCUCCCAGAGCACAGACUGUGCUGCGUUUGCGGGCUCGUGCGCAAGACAACAGCUCUUCUGCCAUGUCGCCACGUCGUGUGUCACUCCUGUUUCCAACAGUGCAUGGCUACCGAGGAACAUGCCUGUUCGAUUGACGGUAAAAGUUGUCCGGAAGAAGACGUUGAUUGGAGGGACUUCCCAGCUGAAAAUCUACUGAAAAGAGAGGUUGAAUGCUGGAACCGGGGACGUGGUUGUGCACUUGUGAUCGCUGCUUCGGAGCUUCCCAAGCACUUCCAUCGAGAAUGCGUACAUCACUGCUCAACCUGUCCAAGAUGCUCGACGAUGGUUUUAUGCCGAGAUAU